rnacentral:rRNA from 1 species
AACGAACGCUGGCGGCAGGCCUAACACAUGCAAGUCGAGCGAGGACUUCGGUCCUAGCGGCGGACGGGUGAGUAACGCGUGGGAACGUGCCCCUUGGUACGGAAUAGCCCCGGGAAACUGGGAGUAAUACCGUAUGAGCUCUACGGAGGAAAGAUUUAUCGCCAAGGGAUCGGCCCGCGUUGGAUUAGGUAGUUGGUGGGGUAAUGGCCUACCAAGCCGACGAUCCAUAGCUGGUUUGAGAGGAUGAUCAGCCACACUGGGACUGAGACACGGCCCAGACUCCUACGGGAGGCAGCAGUGGGGAAUCUUAGACAAUGGGCGCAAGCCUGAUCUAGCCAUGCCGCGUGAGCGAUGAAGGCCUUAGGGUUGUAAAGCUCUUUCAGCUGGGAAGAUAAUGACUGUACCAGCAGAAGAAGCCCCGGCUAACUCCGUGCCAGCAGCCGCGGUAAUAC